rnacentral:misc_RNA from 1 species
AUGUAGCUGCGUUAAGGAUUGCAGUGGAAAUCCCACAGCCCGACGAAGGAGGAGCGAGGACUUGUAGCGGAAAGCCUGACCCUUG